rnacentral:rRNA from 1 species
UGAGCGGAGAGUUUGAUCCUGGCUCAGGACGAACGCUGGCGGCGCGUUUAACACAUGCAAGUCGAGGGAUCGGCCCGGACUUUGUUCGGGUACGGACCGGCGAACGGGUGAGUAACACGUGAGGAAUCUGCCCUGUAGACCGGAAUAACCACGGGAAACUGUGGCUAAUGCCGGAUAUUCUCGCCGCUCCGCAUGGAGCAACGAGGAAAUGGUCAGCCGCUACAGGAUGACCUCGCGGCCUAUCAGCUUGUUGGUGGGGUAACGGCCCACCAAGGC